GGUAGUUGAGUAUUCAUGAUGACAAACGUAUGUUUUGUUUUGUCUUGUGAAACAUUAGGUUGGUGCUGUGAGAGCGGGGCAGUGGAGGACUAGCAUGGAUAUGAUGCCCUCUACUGCCCCACCAUAGCUCACACAACUGCAGUGCAGAAUUCAGUCUGGGAACAUGAACAAUUGAGACGUCUAAUGGAAAAAGGACAUUUGGGAAAAAGAUGACAUCGAGUCGCAGUGGUCAUCUGAUGAGCUUGAUGCUUUUGAUUGCCCUGCUGGAGGAAGAAGCAGUAAAGGAAAAGGCGGCGUAUAUAGAAGAUAACUGCUCUGCUCCCGGAUAUGCCUGGGGGUCUUCUUGAGCUGCAGGUAUCGUACCACUCUGACCAAUUUAUUCUCAUUUGGUCUGCUUUGAAUACCUGA